CCUACGGGAGGCUGCAGUGAGGAAUAUUGGUCAAUGGACGAGAGUCUGAACCAGCCAAGUAGCGUGAAGGAUGACUGCCCUAUGGGUUGUAAACUUCUUUUAUAUGGGAAUAAAACGUUCCACGUGUGGGAUUUUGUAUGUACCAUAUGAAUAAGGAUCGGCUAACUCCGUGCCAGCAGCCGCGGUAAUACGGAGGAUCCGAGCGUUAUCCGGAUUUAUUGGGUUUAAAGGGAGCGUAGGUGGAUUGUUAAGUCAGUUGUGAAAGUUUGCGGCUCAACCGUAAAAUUGCAGUUGAAACUGGCAGUCUUGAGUACAGUAGAGGUGGGCGGAAUUCGUGGAGUAGCGGUGAAAUGCUUAGAUAUCACGAAGAACUCCGAUUGCGAAGGCAGUUCACUGGACUGCAACUGACACUGAGGCUCGAAAGUGUGGGUAUCAAACAGGAUUAGAUACCCGUGUAGUC
rnacentral:rRNA from 1 species